rnacentral:rRNA from 1 species
AACGAACGCUGGCGGCAUGCCUAACACAUGCAAGUCGAACGAGAUCCUUCGGGGUCUAGUGGCGCACGGGUGCGUAACGCGUGGGAAUCUGCCCUUAGGUUCGGAAUAACAGUUAGAAAUGACUGCUAAUACCGGAUGAUGACGUUACGUCCAAAGAUUUAUCGCCUGAGGAUGAGCCCGCGUAGGAUUAGCUAGUUGGUGUGGUAAAGGCGCACCAAGGCGACGAUCCUUAGCUGGUCUGAGAGGAUGAUCAGCCACACUGGGACUGAGACACGGCCCAGACUCCUACGGGAGGCAGCAGUGGGGAAUAUUGGACAAUGGGCGCAAGACUGAUCCAGCAAUGCCGCGUGAGUGAUGAAGGCCUUAGGGUUGUAAAGCUCUUUUACCCGAGAUGAUAAUGACAGUAGCGGGAGAAUAAGCCCCGGCUAACUCCGUG